rnacentral:rRNA from 1 species
AUUGAACGCUGGCGGCAUGCUUUACACAUGCAAGUCGAACGGCAGCGCGGGCUUCGGCCUGGCGGCGAGUGGCGAACGGGUGAGUAAUGCAUCGGAACGUGCCCAGUAGUGGGGGAUAGCCCGGCGAAAGCCGGAUUAAUACCGCAUACGACCUGAGGGUGAAAGCGGGGGACCGAAAGGCCUCGCGCUAUUGGAGCGGCCGAUGUCGGAUUAGCUAGUUGGUGGGGUAAAGGCUUACCAAGGCGACGAUCCGUAGCUGGUCUGAGAGGACGACCAGCCACAGGGGGAGUGAGACGGGGCCCAGACCCCGGGGGGGGGAAGCGGUGGGGAUUUUGGGAGGAGGGGGGAACCCCGAAUCCGGCAAGGCGGGGGGAGGAAAGAGGCCGUGGGGUUUGGAAACGGUUGUGGGCCGGAAGGAAAUCCUGGGGGCUAAACCCGGGGGGGAAGGACGGGACCGGAAGAAUAAGCCCCGGCUAACCCCGGG